GCUCGCAUAGUCUAGUGGCCAAGGAUUCCACCCUCUCACGGUGGCGACCCGGGUUCAAAUCCCGGUGCGAGCG
rnacentral:tRNA from 1 species